GACGAACGCUGGCGGCGUGCUUAACACAUGCAAGUCGAACGGAAAGGCCCUGCUUUUGUGGGGUGCUCGAGUGGCGAACGGGUGAGUAACACGUGAGUAACCUGCCCUUGACUUUGGGAUAACUUCAGGAAACUGGGGCUAAUACCGGAUAGGAGCUCCUGCUGCAUGGUGGGGGUUGGAAAGUUUCGGCGGUUGGGGCUGGACUCGCGGCUUAUCAGCUUGUUGGUGGGGUAGUGGCUUACCAAGGCUUUGACGGGUAGCCGGCCUGAGAGGGUGACCGGCCACAUUGGGACUGAGAUACGGCCCAGACUCCUACGGGAGGCAGCAGUGGGGAAUAUUGCACAAUGGGCGGAAGCCUGAUGCAGCAACGCCGCGUGCGGGAUGACGGCCUUCGGGUUGUAAACCGCUUUCGCCGGUGACGAAGCGUGAGUGACGGUAAUGGGUAAAGAAGCACCGGCUAACUACGUG
rnacentral:rRNA from 1 species